AUUGGGGCUUCAUUGCAGUUUUAGUUUAGUUUGAUUCAGUUUACCUCUAGCUUCAAAUAUUUUGAAUGAAGGUAGAAUCAGAACUCUCAUAUCACCAGGGUCUGAGUUUUGGGCAUUGGCAAGAUUCCAGAGAUCUUACUUUGCUUCAUAGCUAAGCCACCAGCUUUUAUUAACGUGGGGGAUCUUUCCCUGCUUUACAACCUUGCUGCCAGGACUUUUUUUUUUAUCAAUGAGCUGGGGACAGGAGGAUAUUUUUCUCAGCUCUCAUGCGUGCCCUGCCCUUUUGUAGAGGAAUGUCCACAAUGCCUAGGGAUGGGUUUCUUAGCAUUUGUGACCCCACUUAGCCUCCAAGAGUACCUCUGUUGGAUUUCACAACAAUCCUGCCUCCCCUUUCAUCUUUAAAGGGUAUUUUGCCCUUGGGAGAAGUCAAGCUCUCUCAGCUUUCCUUCUGUUAUCUGCAACUUCAGUGUACUACACACUCCUGUACCUGGUUAUCAUCUAAGGGGUAAGAUUGGUGGGAAGCCUUCCUCUGUGGAUUUGGGUCCUCUAGGUUCUAAUGUCAAACCAGCCUCCAAGGGGUUGUGAAAAUUUUGUUAAAUUCCAAGAGGUUUCUUUUCUCCCCCUGUAGUAUUCCUCUUCCUACCGUAGUUGAACUAGGAAGAACAACAGCUAGGGGGUCUGUUCUCUCCUAUGAAGGAGUUGGCACUUUCUGGAGUUUGGAUCAUUUAGGUUUCUUUGGUUUUUGUUUUUGUUUUGAGACAGGGUCUCACUCUUACCCAGCUUGGAGUACAGCCUGUAGUGAUCUCAGCUCACUACAACCUCUGCCUGCCUGGCUCAAUGGAUCCUCCCACCUCAGCCUCCUGAGCAGCUGGGACUACAGGCGUGUACCACCACACUCGGCUAAUUUUUGCAUUUUUUGUCGAGACAGGGUUUUGCCAUGUUGCCCAGGCUGAUCGCCAACCUCUGAGCUUAAGCGAUCUGCCUGCCUCAGUGCCCCAAAGUCCUGGGGUUACAGGCAUAAACCACUGUACCCAACCUAGAUUUCUUUGUGUCCUUAGCUUUCUGAUGAGUUAAACAUAUUUUUUAUUUUCUAGCUAAUCUGGCCUUUUGUUGUUGUUUGCUAGAGUGGGAGGUAUAUUCCCUUGUGACUUUCUUCAUAUCAGUAGUGGAUUUCAGAAAGUUAAUUUUUUUAAUAAAAAAAAUUUUUUAGGUCAGGCGCAGUGUCUCACGCCUGUAAUCCCAGCACUUUGGGGGGCCAAGGCAGGUGGAUCACCUGAGAUCAGGAAUUUGAGACCAGCCUGGCCAACAUAGUGAAACCCCAACUCUAUUAAAAAUACUAAAAUUAUCUGGGUGUGGUGGUGGGUGCCUGUAAUCCCAGCUACUUGGGAGGCUGAGUCAGGAGAAUCGCUUGAACCUGGGAGGCGGAGGAUGCAGUGAGCUGAGAUUGUGCCACUGCACUCCAACCUGGGUGACAGAGCAAGACUCCUUCUCAAAAAAAAAAUUUUUUUUGAAACAGAUCUCACUCCACCCUGGCUGGAGUGCCAUGACACGAUCAUAGGUCACUGCUGGCUUGACCUUCUGGGCUCAAGUGAUCCUCCUGCCUCAGCCUCUUGAAUAAGUUGGGACCACAGGCAUGUGCCACCAUGCCUGGCUAAUUUUUUGGUUUUUUUUUAUUGGUAGGGUUGAGGUCUCGCUAUGUUGCCUGUGAUCCUCCUGCCUUGGUUUUCCAAAGUGCUGGGAUUAAAGGCAUGAGCCACCACACCCGGUUAGGAAUGGGAGUUUAAACAAUGGUUUUAUUUGCACAUUUCAUUAGCUAGUAUUUUUUUCCUUUUUUGAGACAGAGUCUGGCCCUGUUGCCCAGGCUGGAGUACAAUGGCACAAUCUAGGCUCAUUGUAACCUCUGCCUCUUGGCUUCAAGUGAUUCUCAUGCCUCAGCCUCCCGAGUAGCUGGGAUUACAGGCACCCACCACCACACCCAGCUAAUUUUUGUAUUUUUAGUAGAGACAGCGUUUCACCAUGUUGGCCAGGCUGGUCUCAAACUCCUGACCUCAGUUGAUCCAGCCACCUCAGCCUCCCAAAGUGCUGGGAUUACAGGUGUGACCCAUCACGCCUGGCCUCAUUAACAGUUUUUAAAAUUAAAAGUACCUAUAACUUUUGUAGAAUCAUAAAGAAAAGCAACACCUUCCCAUCUUAACUCCCCUAGUGCCUCUACUCCCUCCACAGAGACAAAUAUGUUAGCAGUUUGUUGUGUUUUCUUUUCCAAAUUGUAUUUCUAAAAUGUGUCAAUAUCUUUUCCCUUAUUUUUUUAUUUUUUUGUAGAGACAGGGGGUUCUCACUGUGUUGCCUAGACUGGUCUCAAACUCCUGGCCUCCUACCUUGGCUUCCCACGGUUCUGGCAUGAUCUACUGCACCUGGUGUCCUCCUUGUUAUUCUUUAAAACCUGAAUGGAAGCAUACUAUAUUUUCUACACUCCUUUCAUGUAACUAUUUUAACAACCUGAGGACUUUUAGAGGCUGCAUAGUAUGUCUUAGUAUAGAUGUAUCUUAGUUUAUUUAAACAGUUACUGGUGAUGGACAUUCCCAUAUU
ensembl:lncRNA